UACAGAGGGGGGCAAGCGUUGUUCGGAAUUACUGGGCGUAAAGGGCGCGUAGGCGGCCUGCUAAGUCGAACGUGAAAUCCCCGGGCUCAACCCGGGAACUGCGUCCGAUACUGGCAGGCUUGAAUUCGGGAGAGGGAUGCGGAAUUCCAGGUGUAGCGGUGAAAUGCGUAGAUAUCUGGAGGAACACCGGUGGCGAAGGCGGCAUCCUGGACCGAUACUGACGCUGAGGAGCGAAAGCCAGGGGAGCAAACGGG
rnacentral:rRNA from 1 species